rfam:Trichophyton benhamiae CBS 112371 contig00070.0, whole genome shotgun sequence.
UGCCAUCGCGUUUGUCAAGGCUGCUUCCAGUGCAUAAGUUAUUGCCGUUUUUUACAAUGGAAGACGGUCUGUUACCGCUAUGGCAGAUCAAUCCCCCCCGUAACUUUGGCUUCUUUCUGAAGUCGAGGUUGACUUGCUUUCGUUUUGAAGGCAUCGUCGCAAAGGGCAUGGUGUGUCUUGUUUUGAGUUGAGUCCCGCUUCCACCUCAUCGUGGACAUAAUAGCUGUUCUCUUAGUAACAUUUCAUAUAUCU